UUCAGAAAUAUUAAAGUUGAUGGUUAUUUUCUUAGAGGAAAAAAGUAUGGGAGAAACGAUGAGUUUGUAAAUAGUUUAGGUUGGAAAAUUCAGGCAACCCUAUUUAUAGAUUCAAAAGCUGCCACUUAAAUAUCUAUAUUUUUAAAUAAAUUUAGUAACCGCCCUCGCCCUAGUCAUCUCUAAUAAGGAAAAAUGGGCAAAGAAACUCAUCUUUGUCAAAAGCAUUUUAAAACGUGUAACAUUUAUGUAUAUGGUUAAAACUCUAACAUUUUUCUCAUUUUUUUUAUUAAGAAAACAUAAUCUCCUUCAAUUUCUUCUCCUUAAUUCUUCCAUUAAUAUUAAUUAAGAGUAGUCCAUUCUAUCUCACUUUAAACAAUGAUAUUAAUGUUGUUAAGGAAAAAACAAUAUUCAUCCUUGAAAUUUGUCAAUGGAAAUACAUUUAAUUUUGUAGAAACUAAUAGUGUAAAUGAAAAAACUAUCUCUUGAGUCUUCCUCAAUCAUUUUGUCUCUUGAACGUAGACAAUAGGAUCUCCAAUGUUGCUAAGUAAGGUUUCCACCAAGUGGUGUAAUAAGCAGGUUUUUUAGGCCUACUUAUUUGCUGAAGGGUGUGAGGUUCAGUUUAAUUCCCCUACAAACACUAACAUAUCGAUGCAGCUAUACGGGGUAUCAAUCCAGUCCACUGUUAUUGCUACCAAUCAAGAUGUGUACAGAAGCAACUAAGUCAAACCAGAUUAUAAUGAUGGUGAGUUUCUAGUAACAAUCCUAGGUCAGGAAUCAAACACGAAAAUGAGAACUUUAAGAGCCCUACUCGAUCAUUGGGUCCAGUAGAACCAACAGGCAACAAAAUUAAGUAACUAAAAUGCAAUCAACAGAGGAUACAAAUAACAGGUACAUAAAAGUGCAAUCAACAGGGGAUACAAAUAAAUCUAAUAGAAGUUCUAAGGAUGGAUUCAUUGAUAAGGGCAACUCUCGGGUUCAUCAGAUGGCUAACAGGUAAAAGGUAGAUACCCUUGACGAUAGAUUCAAAAACUGGGUCAAUCCACUGUCGUGACAAAGACCGCCAUAACACUACCACUUCCUAAUCUCAAUUGUCGUUGAUGAAACAUAGCAGAGCAGGGUUUAAGAAACAAUCUACCAAAGCCAAUAAGCAGACAAGCCAAUGUCUUGGUCGAGUCUACAAAUCUCUGGAAUUCGUAGAUCUGACAUCAAUUUGAACGUCUUUUGUACGCUGGACGUCUAUGAUCGAAUCUCCACAUUAGCCAGCGAAAACCGCAUAGGGGCCAAGAGAAUCCAGAAGGGUUCUAACCUAAUCUUAACCACCUAACUAACCUAGAGAUUACCCUAAUCUAAUCCAUCCUCAAGAACACAAACCCAGAAAUUACUCAAAUCAUAUCAAAAUGUAGAUCUAAACAAGCUAAACAACUUUACCAAAACAACUAAAUGCAAAAACAAAAUAGAUUAAGAGUAAUUAAGUUUUGAAGAUUCAUAAACAGAAAGAAAACUAAAGGAUAAAAGCUAGAUCCUUUGGACAAAUCCCAAAGUGAUGUGUUUAUAGUAAAAUGUUGAAACCAUAGAUUCACUAGAAGACAAGAGACUUGAGGCGGUUUAGACCGAUACUUGAUCUUGGGGAUCGAGUAAAGAGGAUGCUGCAAAGUUUGCGCCUUUGUGUCUAUGCUCCGAGUGAUCAAUUGGUCGAGUAGAUGCAUCUUCCUCUCCUAUCCGUAUGCUCCGAUGUUUGGUUGAGUGGGGAAUGAGGAGGAUCCGAAGUCGCUUUGAUAAAUCAACAAGUCUUGUAGAGUGGGUCACCCUUGGUCGAGUAGAGGAUCGAGUAGGAGGGGCGAGUAGAUCAAUCUGCUGCUUCCACUGAGGCUGCCUUGAUCGAGUAAGAGGAUCGAGUGAACUAAAGCCUCCUCUGUAGCUGCCUAGAUCGAGUAAAGAGGUCGAGUAUAAUCCUUUUAAGCUCCUUCUGCACCUGAAAACACACCAAAACAUGCAAUGUGUAUGCAAGAUGAUCCUAAAUGCCUAAGUAUGCAAAAUAAGCUAAAAUGGUGCAAAAUGAUAUGAUACAAUGAGCAAAUGUAAAGCUAAAUGAUGAUAAACACACACCUAAAAUGAGUAAAAUACAGUGUUAUAAACUCCCCCAUACUUAUCUCUAGCUUGCCCUCAAGCAAACAAAAAAUCUUAAGUUGAAGGAGAGGUUUAAAGGUGGGGAUUCAAAAACCGAAGCAUACAUAUAGAACGGGUAAGCUCAAUGUCCAGGUAGGUAAUUCUAGGUUGCAAGAUGAUAGACCUUUACUUAAAAACGUUAGCCAUACUCGUCACAAUGCAACCUAACAACCUGCCUUAAUAUAUUCAAGCAUUCUCAUCAACCAAUUCCCUUGAAUAUUCAUUAAGCACGAACAGUGGAUCAAGCAAUGCAAUGGUUAUGAACUCACUUGGUUUCGGGCUUAGGCUAAGAGACAAAAAUGGUCCCUCUAUUGAUUUGGUCGAGUAACAGGGGACUCUCAGAGAAAAGAUUGAGCUUCAGCAGAAUGCUAAAGGUAAAAACCAAUGGACACAUACAAGAACAGACUCCCAUCUACCCAAUGAUAUAGUAUGAUAGCUCAGAAGAUGAUCGCAGUCCCACAAAUGUCCUAACUCUACCCUUUUUCUUAUUCUUUCUCUCUUUUGGUUCAAGUUCUAAAGGGUUCUUCUUUGAAACGAUUCAAGAGUCUAGCGGGUUUGGUUUUAUACUUUGAAAAUCUUAAGGCUUUUCUUCUAAUUUUAGCACAUAGGGCGAUUUAUCCUUUUUUUGAAUCACAAUGCCUAACUUCUUUGAAUUCCAAACCCUUUACUAGACUAACACUUUUUUGUAUCCCCCUUAAGAACUCUAAACAAUUUUUUUUUCCUUUUCUUUUUAUUUUCAUUCUCUUUCUCAUUCCCAUUCAAUCCAUUCACAAUCCCAAUCCCAAAUACAAGUCUCCACCUAGUCCUAGAUAACCCAAAAAGCGUGGGCUAGGUCUACAUGAAAGACUGCUCUUGUCGGCUCAUAGCUAACACGUUAUACCAAGCUCAAUCGAAAAAGACCUCACAGUCAGACACAAAUGAUCUUUGGCAUAAAAUAAGGCUAGGCUAAGGGUAUGGGAAACUGCUCUAAAAAUGAGAGACAUCUACUUGGAUUAACAGAGGGUGGUGAAGUGAAUAAGAUAAUCCAAGUAUGUAUAUGGUAGCCAUGAGUUCACAAACAAUGCAUAGACAUGAUAAUUACAAAUUCAGUUCAGGUUCUAAUAGAUAGGGAAUGACAUCAGAUAAGCGAGUUUCGAAUCAAAGUAGUAUAGUCAAGUUACAAAUUAGAAGCAGGGUGCAGUCUUACUUCAGAGAUACAAUCGGUUAUGCAUAGAGAACUAACAACCUGGGCAUUGAACUUACUUUAUUGAAUCAAAACAUGCUUAUCGGUUUGAAAUCAUCAUUAUCCCCUAUGAAAAUGAGCAAUCCUAAAUGCAAGUACACUAUAUACAAUCGUAAAAUGAUAUGCAAUCUACAUGACACUCUAUUUUUGUGA
rnacentral:sRNA from 1 species